rnacentral:rRNA from 1 species
CCUACGGGAGGCUGCAGUGGGGAAUAUUGGACAAUGGGGGCAACCCUGAUCCAGCCAUGCCGCGUGUGUGAAGAAGGCCCUCGGGUUGUAAAGCACUUUCAGUGAGGAAGAACGCCUGGUGGUUAAUACCCAUCAGGAAAGACAUCACUCACAGAAGAAGCACCGGCUAACUCCGUGCCAGCAGCCGCGGUAAUACGGAGGGUGCGAGCGUUAAUCGGAAUUACUGGGCGUAAAGCGCGCGUAGGUGGCUUGAUAAGCCGGUUGUGAAAGCCCCGGGCUCAACCUGGGAACGGCAUCCGGAACUGUCAAGCUAGAGUGCAGGAGAGGAAGGUAGAAUUCCCGGUGUAGCGGUGAAAUGCGUAGAGAUCGGGAGGAAUGCCAGUGGCGAAGGCGGCCUUCUGGACUGACACUGACACUGAGGUGCGAAAGCGUGGGUAGCAAACAGGAUUAGAUACCCGAGUAGUC